UACGUAGGGUGCGAGCGUUGUCCGGAUUUAUUGGGCGUAAAGGGCUCGUAGGCGGCGUGUCGCGUCGGCUGUGAAAACUCGGGGCUCAACUCCGAGCUUGCAGUCGAUACGGGCAGGCUAGAGUUCGGCAGGGGAGACUGGAAUUCCUGGUGUAGCGGUGAAAUGCGCAGAUAUCAGGAGGAACACCGGUGGCGAAGGCGGGUCUCUGGGCCGAUACUGACACUGAGGAGCGAAAGCGUGGGGAGCGAACAGG
rnacentral:rRNA from 1 species